AUACGGAGGGUGCAAGCGUUGUCCGGAUUUAUUGGGUUUAAAGGGUGUGUAGGCGGUGUAUUAAGUCAGUGGUGAAAGCCUGCGGCUCAACCGUAGAACUGCCAUUGAUACUGACACACUUGAGUAUGGACGAGGUAGGCGGAAUUUAUGGUGUAGCGGUGAAAUGCAUAGAUACCAUAAAGAACACCGAUAGCGAAGGCAGCUUACUAGGCCAUAACUGACGCUGAGGCACGAAAGCGUGGGGAGCGAACAGGAUUAGAUACCCGAGUAGUCC
rnacentral:rRNA from 1 species